AACUACGUUUCUUUGUUUGAAAAAUUUAAAUCGUUUUUUUUGCCAAGUGGAGAGCAGAUCCACGUCUGCAGAAGUUUGAAGUUUGUUUUGGAGUUGUGAAGUUUUUAUCGUCAGUUUGUUGCCAGUCAGGGCAGUUUUUGGUUUGAGUGAAGAUUGUUUUAUUUCGCUUCGGCGAGUUACCGCAGUAGUUUGGAUUGUGUAGAGGCCAGCCAGUUUUGGAAGUUGGUGGAGUUUCCGUUUUACGGAGUAACAAGCCGAGUUGCGGCAGUUUUGGAAGUUUGGACCUUCAGUGAAGUGCGUCACUAAGGGGUGUCGGCGCCGACUUAAGUGUUUGUUUGUGUAAUUUCGUAUUUUGUUGUAUUUUUUUGUGUGUACCGUAAUUGGGAUUAGCAGUUUUGGACAUGUACCGAAUCUCAAUAGAUCCCUCACUCGAACAUCACCGACUUACUCUUUUAUAAAGGUUUAUGUAUUUUAGCCUUUAACGCUAAGCUCUGAUGAUGGAAUUGAUAUUCUAUGCAAUCUGCCUUUCAAUACGACGCUUAUAAUUCUAAUGGAGCAAUACAUCGAAAAAAUACUUUAUCGAAACAUGACAUUUAUUGCGUACUUAAUUUAUUAGUGAACUUGCGUGAAAAGUACCCCAAAAUAACAAAUUCUCAUAAUAGCAUAGUUACCCUUCAUAAUAUCAUAGUUACCAUAUUACAAGAGUUCUAAUAUUAACGUAACCUGUAUGGAAGAAAGCGGCUAAGCUAUUGG